rnacentral:sRNA from 1 species
UAUUCUGCCCCAUGGGGAAGGAUGAGAAGCUUCGACUAAGGUUCGACUCGAGCGAAGCGAGAAAACGUUGCCGCAGGCAACGGCCCGAAGGGCGAGGCGCUUUAGCGCCGAGUAAUCCUUCCCCCACCACCA